AUGGAGUCCAAAACCCUGCCUGCUUCGCUGCAUGGAUGCUUAUACAACUGCGGAGAAGACGAUGGCCACAUCUCACUCCACUGCACCAACCCGACUAGGUGUGUGCGCUGUGGGGGUCAGAACCACAUCUCCAGGGGUUGCACCCGCCCCCGCAGCUCCUCUCCGGUGGAUCCGGCCCGCCUCCCGCCCGCGCUUCGCCCUCGCCACCAGCCGACGCCGGUCGCACCCCCCUCCCCGCCGGGCCCUCCGCCUGUGGGCGCCGUCCGGCUCGUGAGACCUUGGAGCCAGGUGGUACGCUCGGGUUCGUGCGAGAGCGUCGCCGGCCCGGGUUUCUCGGCCCCCUUCGCGCCGGCGGCCACCCCGGUCCUGGUGGAGGAUCAGGUGGACGUCUGCUUCAUGGAGACCGGGCCGGACCUCGAAGUCAUGGAGGCGGAGCUGGCCCGUGCUGUGGUGGUCACUGUGGUGGGACGGCAUGAGGACGCCGACCUGGCGACGGUGGCGGCUAUGAUUCAUGCGGAAUUCGAGGUGGAUUCUUCGGGCAUGUCCAUCAGGCAGUACUUCCCCGAGGAUUUUCUCGUGCUUUGCCGCUCGCCGGAGCUGCGCAACAGGAUGAUCCGCCGCAGCCGCGCAGGCUCCGGGAGUUUCAACUUGCUGCUCAGGCCCUGGUUGCGCCAGGCGAAUGGAACUGGCAUCGCAAUGCCAUUCUUGGUCCCGCUGGCGCUUUGUGGUGUGCCGGCAAAUGCGUGGACGAGGCGCACCGCCAAUGUGCUUCUCCAUGGGCUCGGCAUCGUCGUCAAGGUGGACGCUUCUACAGAGGCUAGAAGCGAUAUGUCGGACUUCAGGGUGUGGCUGCGCACUGACGACCCAGCGCGCAUCCCGUCUCGGCGCAUCCUCGCCGUCGAGGAGCCCGGGCGGCGGAGCAGCCGUGCGCUGCGUGGCGAAAGUGAGGUGGACGCCAUCUGGUACCCUGUCUCCAUCACCCAGGUGGCUGCGGCUGUUCGUGUGAUCCCUCCGGCAAGCGCGCCCGGCCCCCCGCCGCCGCCGCCCCCGCCACCGAUGUCGCCGCCGUUGGAACGCGAGGACGACCGGGACAAGCCGGGGUCCAGACGCGGCAGGGGAUCUGGUCACCUAGGUGGAGGUGUCAGCCCAGACGGACACCCGAGUGGAUCUCCGGCGAGCUCGUCGGCGUUGGCUCCUACGCCGGCCCGGCGGUGUGCGAUUCAAAUGGUGGGCGAGGACGGUCAGCAUGGUCACGCAGGUCCCAAUUCUAGCGUCAUGGCGGACGUGGCUCAGGACGUAAUCGAGACCAGGGUCGUGGAAUCUGCAGCUGUUGACGGGCCUAUCAGGCUUCGACAUGUCGAGUUGCAGCAGAGCAUCGGGCCCCCUGUCGAUGCAAAGCUGCGCCCGGGCCCGCCCCCCGCUCGUUUGGUGGAUGGCCCGGGACACGAGGAGGAUCAGACGCGACUUCUGGAGCCUGCGGUCGCAUCACCCAACGGUUCCCCGGCGCGAUCUCGUGGAGGUUGUGCACGGUCGCACCACGUGAUUGGCACCCCCACGCACCUCAUGACAGGAAACCGGACCGAUGUGACCAGAGAUUCCCCGACAGCUCGGAUUGGUGGGUGGGAUCUGUGCAUCGCUGCGACGGGUCCCACGGACGGGGGGGUCAGCUUUUCGCAGCGGGAUCUCCCGGAGACCGAGGAGGAUUUGGAUAGCACCGGGGAUCCGGCCAGGCCGGGGCCCACCCUACAUGGCGAUGUGACUCCCCCAUGCACGCGGGAGGGGGGCUGGUUCGUGGUUAGCCUCUCAGCGGAAAAUCAGGAAAAUUCACCCCCAGCCUUGGCCGUGCUGGACGGGGAAAUUGCUCAGUCAAGGCCGCCUCCAACUCCUCCCUCCCCGCCGACUUAA
rnacentral:rRNA from 1 species